CCCUUAGAUGUUCUGGGCGGCCCGCGCACUACAUUGGCACUGGCAACAAGAUCCUAGAUCUGAUAUUUCGGGGUAUUCUACCAACUGGUGUCGUGACUGGGAUUAACCCCUGCAAUUAUUGGUUAUGAACGAGGAAUUCCUUGUAAUCACGGUUUAUCAACCCGUGUUGAAUGCGUCCCUGCCCUUUGUACACACCGCCCGUCGCUCCUACCGAUGAAUCGUCCGGUGAACCUUUCGGACUGAGAGUGGCCUCGAGUCGCUUUUAGAAAGUCAAGUAAACCACAUCACUUAGAGGAAGGAGAAGUCGUAACA
rnacentral:rRNA from 1 species